rnacentral:rRNA from 1 species
CGACUCUCGGCAACGGAUAUCUCGGCUCUCGCCACGAUGAAGAACGUAGCGAAAUGCGAUACUUGGUGUGAAUUGCAGAAUCCCGUGAAUCAUCGAGUCUUUGAACGCAAGUUGCGCCCGAGGCUCCGGCCGAGGGCACGUCUGCCUGGGCGACG